CCGCGAUGUUCUUUUCUCCUACCCGCGA
rnacentral:sRNA from 1 species